GCGGGAAGAGAGUGCAGACGAGACGAGAGAAGUCACUCCCGUCGUUUUGUUCUCUGUUAUUCAGCGUUAAUUAAAAUAUUACACCACAUUCAGCUUUGGCUGGUGAAGAACCCGGGCAACAGUUGUUGUAUGUGGAGUCUCCCCCAUCUCAGCUGGUGAAGCUUGUAACUUCUUCAUAGUAGUCCUAGGUGUCUUGGAGGCCUCUCUCACUUGUCUCCCUUGAGGACGGCCUGAUCCAGGUUUCUGGACCCACAGGGCGGUGGCUCCAUGUUGCGCUUUCAGGCUCCAGGCAGGGAACCCCAGCUUCCCUAUUCGAGGUGAGGUGACUCCAGAUUUUGGACUCUGGAUCUUAAGGGGCUUUCUUGAAUCGCUCUUUGUCUGGACCUAGAGAUCUCAAAGUAGAGCUGCUGCCUCUUCACAUGGAAAAGAGCAAGGUGAGGUUGUGUAGGCGUCUGAUAAGGAUGGUCGCCUCCCUGCAGGUGAGUCCGACUGGGAGGAGACUCAGAACUCGCUGGAGGGAUUAUAUAUCCAAUCUGACCUGGGAAUGCCCUGGAAUCCCAUGGAAGAACUAGAAAAUGUAGCUGGAAGGAGGCACGUCGACGUUAACUUGCUUUGCCCGCUGCCUAUGUAACCUGACCCUGCGUGGAAGAUGGAUGUAUGGAUAGAUUUCUAUUUGUUGUGUCUGCUUUGAUUGUUAAGCAUUGAUGGAUCUAGAAAAAAAACAUGUGUUCUUGGUGUUUUUAUUCCGUACAUUUAGACAAAGCUGGGCAAAAGUCCAUUUAUCUGUAACCUGUUGAUGAUCUACUUUUUUUUCCAGUAAACUUUUAACAUGAAUGUGAAAAACAAUAAUGAAAACUUUUGAUUUUUGGUAAAUCUUGUUUCUCUUAAUAUCAUUUUUGUCAUUUGAAUGUAUUUGUUUUGUGCUAAACUAGCCAUGGAGAUGUUAAAGAGAGAGGGAAGAGUCCUCUGGGUCAGUGGUUCCCAACCUGGGGUCCAGGCACUCCUUUGAGGGGGGCGCGGGACUCUGUCUGCUCUGACAUUGUCAUAACUAGAUGUGAAUCUAUAUAUAUUUCAAAAUGAUUAGAAACAUAAUGUAAGAGGGUUUAGGGUAAACCAAACAAUUAUUAUUAUUAUUAUUAUUAUGUAAAGAGCACCCAUUCAUUUUUAGCAAAAAAAGUUUAAUUUUUUUGGGAGGGUGGUGUAUUUUUUUAGAUUACAAAGUUGUAGAUGUACAAGAAAACAGUCCCAGAAUUUUAGAGUUUAAAAAGUUGAAAAUUAACAAGAAAAAAAUAGACAUUUCUGAGUUAAAAAGCCCAAAUUUUGACACUAAAAACUAAAAAAAAAUUCAAGUGUUUUGAAAUUGUAAGUUUUCAACAGUGUAUGGUCAAAAAUUUACAAGAAACCAUCCACAUUGUUAUCAAUGCAAAGUUCAAAAGCCUCCAUCUGUGAUGGUGUGGGGGUGUAUUAGUGUUCACGGUAUGGGUCACUUGCACCCCUGUGAACACAUAAAUAAUGAAAGGUAGAUAGAGGUUUUCAAUCUAACAUCCCUGCUUAUUUUAGGGAGACAAUGCCUAGGCAUAUUUUGCAGGAAUUACAACAGCAUGGCUUUACAGUGAAAAAAGUGCAGGUAAGCCGUAUGCUAGCAUGUAGUCCAGACCUGCCUCUAAAAUUUAUGGCACAUUAAGAAGGCCAAAAUACAACAACAUAAACCCUACACUGUUGAGCAAAUCACUAUGUA